UACGAAGGGGGCUAGCGUUGUUCGGAAUUACUGGGCGUAAAGCGCGCGCAGGCGGCUAUCCAAGUCAGUGGUGAAAGCCCGGAGCUCAACUCCGGAACUGCCAUUGAAACUGUUUAGCUUGAGGAUGAGAGAGGUGAGUGGAAUUCCCAGUGUAGAGGUGAAAUUCGUAGAUAUUGGGAAGAACACCGGUGGCGAAGGCGGCAUCCUGGACCGGUAUUGACGCUGAGGCGCGAAAGCCAGGGGAGCAAACGGG
rnacentral:rRNA from 1 species